UGGGGAAUAUUGCACAAUGGGCGCAAGCCUGAUGCAGCCAUGCCGCGUGUGUGAAGAAGGCCUUCGGGUUGUAAAGCACUUUCAGUUGUGAGGAAAGGUGUGUAGUUAAUAGCUGCAUACUGUGACGUUAGCAACAGAAGAAGCACCGGCUAACUUCGUGCCAGCAGCCGCGGUAAUACGAGGGGUGCAAGCGUUAAUCGGAAUUACUGGGCGUAAAGCGUACGUAGGCGGUUUGUUAAGCAAGAUGUGAAAGCCCAGGGCUUAACCUUGGAACUGCAUUUUGAACUGGCAAACUAGAGUACUGUAGAGGGUGGUGGAAUUUCCAGUGUAGCGGUGAAAUGCGUAGAGAUUGGAAGGAACAUCAGUGGCGAAGGCGGCCACCUGGACAGAUACUGACGCUGAGGUACGAAAGCGUGGGGAGCGAACAGG
rnacentral:rRNA from 1 species